AUGUGUGAUGCUAGUGAUUAUGCUGUAGGUGUUGUUCUAGGGAAAAGAGUUGAUAAGAAAUUAAAUGUUAUUCAAUAUGCUAGUAAAACUCUACACAAUGCCCAGAGAAAUUAUGCUACUACUGAAAAAGAAUUUUUAGCAGUUGUAUUUGCUUGUGAUAAGUUCAGACCUUAUAUUGUUGAUUCUAAAGUAACUAUUUACAUCGAUCAUGCUGCUAUUAAAUAUAUUAUGGAAAAAAAGAUGCUAAACCUAGACUUAUUAGAUGGGUUCUCUUACUACAAGAAUUUGAUUUGCAUAUUAUUGAUAGAAAGGAAGCUGAGAACCCCAUUGCAGAUAACUUGUCUAGGUUAG
rnacentral:rRNA from 1 species